rnacentral:rRNA from 1 species
UAGCUCACUGGUCGAGUCGGCCUGCGCGGAAGAUGUAACGGGGCUAAACCAUGCACCGAAGCUGCGGCAGCGACGCUUAUGCGUUGUUGGGUAGGGGAGCGUUCUGUAAGCCUGUGAAGGUGUGCUGUGAGGCAUGCUGGAGGUAUCAGAAGUGCGAAUGCUGACAUAAGUAACGAUAAAGCGGGUGAAAAGCCCGCUCGCCGGAAGACC